rnacentral:misc_RNA from 1 species
UGUAGGAGGGCUGGGACUCACUG